rnacentral:rRNA from 1 species
CACCGCGGUUAUACGGGAGACUCAAGUUGAUACAGCCCGGCGUAAAGCGUGGUAAAUAGCACACAAAUACUAAAAUCAAAUACUUUCAAAGCUGUAAUACGCACCCGAAAGUAAGAAGCUCAACUACGAAAGUGAUUUUAUGCUAUUGACACCACUGAAGCUGUGAAA